UAUUUAUUGGACUUAAUGCUGACGCGGAAGCGGCAGCGGAAGUGGUGGCCCUCGUGUGAAGCCCUACUUGGGUAAAGACCAGCUAGUCUACCUGUGCGAGUCCACCGAGCAAGGACACCGACAAGGCGCCACUCACCAAAGCACUUAAACCGUUCACAAGAUACAGAUGCAAGACAAAACGCAACCCACACAACCUACGGCCGCUUUGCACUUCAACACCUGCUCCACUCUCGUUCUCAGUGGGACUCUGGAACUGCCAGUCUGCUGUGAACAAAGCUGCCUUCAUUCCGGCUUUCAGCCACGCAGUCCACCCUCAGCAUCCUGGCACUGACAGAGACAUGGAUACGUCCUGAGGAUACAGCAACACCUGCUGCUCUCUCUAACAACUUCUCCUUCUCCCACACCCCUCGACAUACUGGUAGGGGUGGGGGAACAGGUCAGCUGACAAGCUUUCUUGAGGAAUUGGAUGUCCUGCUGUCCUCCUUGCCAGAGGAUGGCAGGCCACUUGUGGUUCUUGGUGAUUUCAACAUACACCAGGACAAACCCCAGGCCAUUGAACUGAAUACUCUUCUGGCCUCAUUUGACUUGGAAAGACUACACACCACAGCAACUCACAGGUCGGGCAACCAGCUGGACCUCAUU